GAUGAACGCUGGCGGCGUGCCUAAUACAUGCAAGUCGAGCGAACGGACGAGAAGCUUGCUUCUCUGAUGUUAGCGGCGGACGGGUGAGUAACACGUGGAUAACCUACCUAUAAGACUGGGAUAACUUCGGGAAACCGGAGCUAAUACCGGAUAAUAUUUUGAACCGCAUGGUUCAAAAGUGAAAGACGGUCUUGCUGUCACUUAUAGCUGGAUCCGCGCUGCAUUAGCUAGUUGGUAAGGUAACGGCUUACCAAGGCAACGAUGCAUAGCCGACCUGAGAGGGUGAUCGGCCACACUGGAACUGAGACACGGUCCAGACUCCUACGGGAGGCAGCAGUAGGGAAUCUUCCGCAAUGGGCGAAAGCCUGACGGAGCAACGCCGCGUGAGUGAUGAAGGUCUUCGGAUCGUAAAGCUCUGUUAUUAGGGAAGAACAUAUGUGUAAGUAACUGUGCACAUCUUGACGGUACCUAAUCAGAAAGCCACGGCUAACUACGUG
rnacentral:rRNA from 1 species